GGAGUUAGCCGGUGCUUCUUCUGUGAGUGAUGUCCUUCCUGCCGGUUAUUGACCCGCAGGCCUUCUUCCUCACUGAAAGUGCUUUACAACCCGAAGGCCUUCUUCACACACGCGGCAUGGCUGGAUCAGGGUUGCCCCCAUUGUCCAAUAUUCCCCACUGCUGCCUCCCGUAGGAGUCUGGGCCGUGUCUCAGUCCCAGUGUGGCUGAUCAUCCUCUCAGACCAGCUACGGAUCGUCGCCUUGGUGAGCCGUUACCUCACCAACCAGCUAAUCCGACAUAGGCUCAUCCGAUAGCGCGAGGCCCGAAGGUCCCCCGCUUUCCCCCGUAGGGCGUAUGCGGUAUUAGCCUGGGUUUCCCCAGGUUAUCCCCCACUACCGGGCAGAUUCCUAUGCAUUACUCACCCGUCCGCCGCUCGCCACCAGGGAGCAAGCUCCCCGUGCUGCCGCUCGACUUGCAUGUGUUAGGCCUGCCGCCAGCGUUCAAUCUGAGCCANAAUCAAACUCUGA
rnacentral:rRNA from 1 species